GAUGAACGCUGGCGGCGUGCCUAAUACAUGCAAGUCGAGCGAACAGACGAGGAGCUUUCUCCUUUGACGUUAGCGGCGGACGGGUGAGUAACACGUAGGUAACCUACCUAUAAGACUGGGAUAACUUCGGGAAACCGGAGCUAAUACCGGAUAAUAUUUCGAACCGCGUGGUUCGAUAGUGAAAGAUGCCUUUCCUAUCACUUAUAGAUGGUCCUGCGCCGUAUUAGCUAGUUGGUAAGGUAACGGCUUACCAAGGCAACGAUACGUAGCCGACCUGAGAGGGUGAUCGGCCACACUGGAACUGAGACACGGUCCAGACUCCUACGGGAGGCAGCAGUAGGGAAUCUUCCGCAAAGGGCGAAAGCCUGACGGAGCAACGCCGCGUGAGUGAUGAAGGUCUUCGGAUCGUAAAACUCUGUUAUUAGGGAAGAACAAACGUGUAAGUAACUGUGCACGUCUUGACGGUACCUAAUCAGAAAGCCACGGCUAACUACGUG
rnacentral:rRNA from 1 species